GACGAACGCUGGCGGCGUGCUUAACACAUGCAAGUCGAACGAUGAUGCCCAGCUUGCUGGGUGGAUUAGUGGCGAACGGGUGAGUAACACGUGAGUAACCUGCCCCUGACUCUGGGAUAAGCGUUGGAAACGACGUCUAAUACUGGAUAUGACUGCCGGCCGCAUGGUCUGGUGGUGGAAAGAUUUUUUGGUUGGGGAUGGACUCGCGGCCUAUCAGCUUGUUGGUGAGGUAAUGGCUCACCAAGGCGACGACGGGUAGCCGGCCUGAGAGGGUGACCGGCCACACUGGGACUGAGACACGGCCCAGACUCCUACGGGAGGCAGCAGUGGGGAAUAUUGCACAAUGGGCGAAAGCCUGAUGCAGCAACGCCGCGUGAGGGAUGACGGCCUUCGGGUUGUAAACCUCUUUUAGUAGGGAAGAAGCGUAAGUGACGGUACCUGCAGAAAAAGCACCGGCUAACUACGUGCCAGCAGCCGCGGUAAUACGUAGGGUGCAAGCGUUGUCCGGAAUUAUUGGGCGUAAAGAGCUCGUAGGCGGUUUGUCGCGUCUGCUGUGAAAUCCCGAGGCUCAACCUCGGGCUUGCAGUGGGUACGGGCAGACUAGAGUGCGGUAGGGGAGAUUGGAAUUCCUGGUGUAGCGGUGGAAUGCGCAGAUAUCAGGAGGAACACCGAUGGCGAAGGCAGAUCUCUGGGCCGUAACUGACGCUGAGGAGCGAAAGCGUGGGGAGCGAACAGGAUUAGAUACCCUGGUAGUCCACGCCGUAAACGUUGGGCGCUAGAUGUAGGGACCUUUCCACGGUUUCUGUGUCGUAGCUAACGCAUUAAGCGCCCCGCCUGGGGAGUACGGCCGCAAGGCUAAAACUCAAAGGAAUUGACGGGGGCCCGCACAAGCGGCGGAGCAUGCGGAUUAAUUCGAUGCAACGCGAAGAACCUUACCAAGGCUUGACAUACACCGGAAACGGCCAGAGAUGGUUGCCCCCUUGUGGUCGGUGUACAGGUGGUGCAUGGUUGUCGUCAGCUCGUGUCGUGAGAUGUUGGGUUAAGUCCCGCAACGAGCGCAACCCUCGUUCUAUGUUGCCAGCGCGUUAUGGCGGGGACUCAUAGGAGACUGCCGGGGUCAACUCGGAGGAAGGUGGGGAUGACGUCAAAUC
rnacentral:rRNA from 1 species